AUGUGUCUCUUGGUGUUUACCUCCAAUGGCCAUUCUGUGAAAGUGUCCCAUUCUAGAGCUGAGAAGAGACAGCAGGACAGGGAAUCAUCUGCUAGUGUCGCGUCAGAUGUCUACAUGUCCACAAGUUGUUUAAGAAAAAGUAAGAUACGACUAUUGCAAACACAAGGCAAGAAGUUAUCAGAGAUGAACCCUUCAUCACCGAGUUCAAAACCAGAUGGCCUGCUCUCUUCUGUGUUUCUGAGAAUAAAUUUAAGAGGACUACAACAGUUUGCUGCAACAGUUCUUCUCCAUGCUGGAUGGUUAUUCUUCAGACCUGAAAACGGUGUUUGGCAAGGAAGGCGGCAUUCAAGGACAAAAGAUUAAGAGCAUCAUGGUUCCCAUAACCCAGACUAACUCCAUUGAUGUCAGAAGAGUACAUCCUUUAAGCCCAGUGUGUGUUCCUCAAUGAAGAUCCUGGCAACCUUGUGAAAGAAUGGAUGGUAAGAAUGUUUUUUUUAUUUUUUUUUAUUUCAUGUAAGUUUAAAAUUUCAAAGUGAUUUAUAUAUGCUUUAAAAGUUGAAGUGUUAUAUAACAUCAUCCGCUUUUUUAAUUUUACAUUUCAGAUCGUGGACGCCUUGAAGAAGCCAUGAUAGAGACAAUUCUUGAAGUUUUUGUCAUUCACAAAGAUGCAGAGGCAGAUGAUGACCCUGAAGAUGUAGUCAUCGUUUCAAGUCUUGGAUGAGUUGGGUAGUGUCCCACUUGCUGUGUUGUUGUUGUUUGCUCUUGUUAUAUGCUCUCAACCUCAGCUACCCUCCACUAAAAGUUGUUUGAAAUAUUGGCCCAAUGCUGUAUGUACAAUACUGGAUGUUAGUGACAUUUUGUAGCUGCCUUUGACAUUUGAAAGCUGUUUUAUCGUUUUUAUGAAGCUUAUAAAGUAUUCUAACCAGUCUAAAUCCAAUGUGCUUUGUGUCUUCUCCAACCUACACACCAGCUGGGGAUAUAUGUUAGUUUGCAUAAUAGAAAUACUGUUUCAAAGAUUACUUUAUUUGUAUGUAACUUUGAAAAGCUAAUGUUGGCACAAAACAUUUGAUAACUUUACAUUGGUUGUGUUAGUAUAGCAUAAUUUAUUAAUUAAUUUAAAUUAACUUGUUACUACCCUAUAAAAUUAAGUAACAAGUAUUAAUAUUAUACAUGAUCAAAUAACCCAAGAAAAUUAUGUUCAAUCAACCCUAAAAACAUUAGUGGGACUGACCCAUGGUCAUUAGGUAACAUUAACAUGAAUAUAUCAUGUUGCUUCACCCUGUUUACAUUUGGUUCACUAAGCGAAAUAGCUUCUUGCUAUCUUAACGCAUUUUAAUUAGAUGGAAAUACUUUCCAUAAUUUUAUUAUGUUCAUCCAACAAGUUUUUU
rnacentral:lncRNA from 1 species